rnacentral:misc_RNA from 1 species
GCAAACUUGGUCAUUUAGAGGAAGUAAAAGUCGUAACAAGGUUUCCGUAGGUGAACCUGCGGAAGGAUCAUUAGCGAAGCUCGGAAUGCAUGUUCGGUUCUGACGCUGCCCAGCAAUGGGAUGUGCUCGUCCGGAUGUGUGUCCCUUCUCUAUCCACCCCAUUGUGAACCAAGUGUGCGAGCCGAAGAGAGAUCGGAAGCUCGCAUGCAACCCUUAUAUACCCCAAUGAAGUAUCAGAAUGUACCUUGCGUUAACUCGCACAAAUACAACUUUCAACAACGGAUCUCUUGGCUCUCGCAUCGAUGAAGAACGCAGC